AGGAUUGUAGCUUAGUGGCAGAGCAUCUGCCUUGCGUGCAGAAGUUCCCGGGUUCAAACCCUGGCGUCUCCA